rnacentral:rRNA from 1 species
UACGAAGGGGGCUAGCGUUGCUCGGAAUCACUGGGCGUAAAGCGCACGUAGGCGGAUUGCUAAGUCAGGGGUGAAAUCCUGGAGCUCAACUCCAGAACUGCCCUUGAUACUGGCGGUCUCGAGUCCGGGAGAGGGUGAGUGGAACUGCGAGUGUAGAGGUGAAAUUCGUAGAUAUUCGCAAGAACACCAGUGGCGAAGGCGGCUCACUGGCCCGGUACUGACGCUGAGGUGCGAAAGCGAUGGGGAGCAAACAGGGAUUAAGAAA